rnacentral:SRP_RNA from 1 species
AGCCGGGGAGUUAGCGGUGCCCUGUACCUGCAAUCCGCUACAGCAGGGGUGAUACUAAACAGAGGGUCUUUUGUUGUGGAGCUGCCCUCUAUAAGUGGCGUUGACGUCUGGGUCUCGCGCAACAGAACUCUAUGAACCGUGUCAGGGCAGGAAUGCAGCAGCACUAAGUAGAAUCUUCUGUGUGCCGUGAGGCAGCCUGGGCCGAGUUAACUGUAGAGGUAACGUCUGGGGCGGAGAUUCGAAGGGCAGUGCGCG